AGCCAGGUGGCGUCGUGGUUUGAGCGUUGGACUACGACUCUGGAAAUCAGGGUUCGAAUUCAAGCUUGGCCA